AGUAGGCGGGGGACGGGGGGCAAGGAAGGGCUGAGGAGGACAGGAGAGGGAGUGAACGAACCCUUAUCUAGCCCUGUGAGGGGCAGGCUCCACCAGGACAGACUUAGCACCCCACCACAGGGCUGAAAGCCAGCGCCCCCUUUAUCUCUUUGCCUUGCAUGCCUACUUCGUGAUGCUGAAACCCAAACAUUGGUGACCGAGCCAUUAGCGUACUGGAAUGUCUCUGAAGCCUGCAGCCCUCUCACUGCUGUCUCAGGCACAGGACUCAACUCUAGCCUCUCCCUUCAGUCCUCAUGUGCAGAAGAGCGACACCUUCCGUCCUUGCCCAGACAGCUCAGUGUGCGGAAAAGCGGCCUGGCCCAGUGAAUGCAGUACAGACAAGUGAAACUGCCUUGUGUUUUUUUCUAAGUUUCCUUUUCAGAACCGACACCUGGCAGGUCAAGAAACAAAAGGCGUGUUUUCAGAGGGACCUCGUUCUUACAGGAAGAUUUCAAGUGAUGAUUUUAAUUCAUCUAGCUGCCUGUUUUCAAAAUCACCGGAUAAAUGGUCACACGACUCCCAUCUUUCAGUAGCUUCGUUGUUUCUUGUCAGAGCCUAAACUCUAAAAAGCUUGAUUCUUCCAGUGUCCGAACUAAUCCCUGUUUAGAUGAUGUCUUCAGAAGCUGUAUUAACUUUUGUAGUGGCUUGAGAAAUGAUACUCUUUGGUUGGGUUUGGGCCGAAGACUUCAAAGAUGCCCAAGUGAAUUUCAGGAAUGGGUUCAAUAUAGGAUCAAAUUCACCUUUAACCAAUUGCCGUUGAGUCAAUUCCAACUAUAUUCUUGUAAUUGGACCCUGUAGGACAGAGAAGACCUGCCCCACAGGUUUCCCAAGGCUGUAAAUCUUUUUGGAUGCAGACCGCCACAUCUUUCUGCAGAGCGGCUGGUGGGUUUAGACUUCGGACCUUUCUCUUGGCAGCCAGACACUUAACCACUACACCACCAAAAAAAAAAAAAAAAAAACACCACCAGAGCUCCUUAAAUUCACCUUUAGCAGGGGCUAUUCGGCUCAUGCCUGGGAACUUCCAGUGUUUUUGUGAAACUAUCCAGGAUUGUGGACAACACUUAAAGUUAGUAUUUGUUGCCGAUGUGUUUGUGGCUCAAGAGAAAGCAUUAUAAAAAAUAUCUAGGAAUCUCAGAAGUAAAGAAGUCUUAGGGUUCCAGAAAGGUAUCAUUGCAGUAAAAAAAAAAAAACUAGUGCCAUCGGUAGAUCAUGCAAUUCAGAGAUAAGAAUUGAGAACAAGAAAAGGUGACUACAAACAGGUGGCACUGAGAGAAGAAGAUAGGAAUUUCUUCUAUCCUGCUACUCCCAGCUCCCACCUCUCUCAUCAAAAUAGAAUAGCGAAGACAAAGGAUUUUAAGAUGUGAUUAAAAUGGGUUGAAAUGGCCUUAAAUAAGAGGGAUGGUAUCUGCUUUAAAACACAUCCUGUUAUACCUCAGCGAAAAUUUCUAUUUAAAAAUAAUCCUCAGUAGUGAAAAGAUUUUAAUCACUUAGUCAAGCUUAAAAUUUUAUCUUUUUGGGAUGAAGACUAUGCUGUUCCGUUUAAUACCAUCCAAACACUGGAGGAGAUAACGUCAUUUUUGUAAAUCAUGUCACGUUUCAAAGAGACAGCAAUUACCCCCCCCGUGACUCUGCCUCCAUCCCCAUUUCUCAUUCUGAGAAUUCAUUUCUUGAAUUGUCUUCUGAAACUCUUACCAGGAGCCCUUCGCGCCUCCUUGAAACUCCUGAUGUGGGACUAUUUAAAAACAAACAUUAUGUUAAGGAAAAACACUGAGUUGUAUGAGUAUAGUAAACUCACAGGAAGAAGGAAAAAGUCCUUCUACAGAAUUCCAAAAAUUAGAGUGAAAAUAGGUAAGACAGUUUUCAGAGUUCCCAUUUCUUCUGGACAGGAGAGACUGAAGUAGAUCAUAAAGAAGGUAUGUUUGAAGAUGUCAAAGGCACACUGUUCUUGUACCCACUUUGAGAUGAUUGGUCCUUAAAAACUGUUUCCUGUGAGACUGGAAACAUUUUAAAGACAAGAGGGUUAAAACACACUUAGAAAGCUGUAUUAGCGUUUGAAACAAAACAGUUAAUUGCUUGUUCUUAAAAGGAACUCUGUUUGAAGUUGUGCCAAAGAAUCAACUGGUAACAUAUUCCUGACAGACAAAGUUGGUAAUAAAUUAGGCCCACUUCGAUAGAGCCUGCCUUGUCUCUAGGAAUUUGUAAUCAGUGAAAUAUCAAAAAUUUUUAAAAAGGCAACUAUGAAAUGAACCUUAGAGGACAACUUCCGGGGCAUGUGCAGGAAGCAAAAGAAAAUGAGAUAAACAGAUAAGAACAUUCCUGGGUCAUGACGUAGCAGAAGCCCACAGGAGCGGCCAGGCCUUGGCUGCCCCAAGCUUUCACUUGGUCUACCAUCCUGUCCUCCACUGCCCUAGUUUAAGAGAGGGGGAAACUGAGACCAAAGAAAGGAUAUUAUUUGUCCAAGCUCACUUUUUCUGAAGCUAGUUGGAAGCAGAUUUUCCCCACCCUCCAAAGUGCCUUAAUAUUCCAAAAUAAGCCUUUCCUCUUCCCUGUAGUAAUUAGGCAAAAACAAAACAAAAAAAUGCAAAGAAAUAACAGAUCCAUUUCUCGGGUCUGUAUGGUUUCUAAAUGUAAAUGCUAUGAGGCUGCAAUUGUGAAAGGGAAAGAAGUUAACUUCUCCUGGAGAAAGGGGCAACAUGGGAAUAUAAUUUCCUUCCCUGAUCCUGAUUUCAGCUAAGUUUCAGUUAGAGAGCAGUUUGGUAGAGUCCUACUAGAGCGUGAAUGAUUGGUAGAUGCAUCUUAAAAAGUAGAGCUGUUUAUCACACACGCAGACGCGUGCUUGCGGGCGGCUGUGGACCUUUCUGAAGCCCCAUUACCUGUAUUGCUCCUUCCACCGUUAAUCUCCACACCUCAACACAUCCAAAGAGCAAGGUCAGCGUCUUGGCAGGGCUUGGAGAGGUUCUGGAGAGAAUCUCGAGUAGCCAAAGAAUUGCCCCUGAGGUAAAAAUCCCAAAACCAAACCACUUGCCGUCAAGUCGAUUCCAACUUAUGGUGACCCCAUGUGUUGCAGAUUAGGACUGUGCUCCACAGCGUUUUCCUUUCAGAAGCAGAUCACCAGGUCUUUCUUCUGAGGUACCUCUGGGUGAGUUCGAACCAUCAACCUUUCUGUUAUUAGUUGUGUGCUUAAGCGUUGGCACCACCCAGGGCCUCCACCUCUCAGAUAUGGGGUGUUAAACCCCAUGGGGUGGUGGUGAUGGGGACAGUGACAGGAAGGCUGGUAUGGGUCAUGUCACAGGCAACAGCACUACUUCCUUUCCUCAGUGGGGCCAAGAGGUGAGCAGUGGGCAGGUCAGUUCCUGCUGCUGGUCUUUUGGCUUACUACAGUCAAGUCACAUCUGUCCUGCACCCCCUGCCGCUUCAUUGGGUGCUGGCUACUCCUUGGGAGACCCUUUCCCUUGAGCACCUUUGCUUGAUGGUGGUACCUCACAUGUGUGGUCAUAUGUGUAUGAUCUUUGUAUGGUCUUUGCAGCUUUUUAAUAAAACAGUAGGGGGUUAGGAGCAGGGGUGGGGUGUAGAGGAAGCCACCACAGAGUGUGAAGUGCCCUUUCCCUCCCAAAGAGUGUGAAGUGGCCUUUCUCCCGGGAAAAGCUCUCAGCGUUAACAGUUUUCCAUUUUUCAGUGGUAACUGUAUGGAUGCUUGCAUUUGGGAACCACAUCAACCCAAGUGUGUGUGUGUGUUGCCUCAUUAAUUUAGCAACUUUUCUUUUCAAGGAUCUUUUUGAGGCAGGGGGAAGUCUGUAAGAGCUAUGGGCUUCCUUGGGGGUCACUGUCAGAUCUGAGAUGCUGGAGGAGGAGUCAGCAUAUGUCACUGCCUGGUAAUGAGGGGACAGAAGUCAGCUUUGAUCUGCUCCUGCAGAGAAGGUGUAGCUCUGACUUAACCACUCCAGGAAAGGAAGGGGAAGUAAGGGAUAGAAUUACCCAACUACAGGAUGGAGAGAACCCAGCCAGUGUAAUUGGCCUGGAUAUCUGAUAAAAGGUCUUGCGAAGCCUUAUUUGAAAAUGGAAUUCCAUCUUGGCAUGGCCUUAGCACCACUUCUGAAAUGGAAACAAGCUGGAGAAGGGUCAGCAAAUGGCCCAGGAAAAACAUCUUUAGGAUGACUGAUGCAGAAAUGGGCUCUGCCGUCUUCAUGCUGUCUGUUAAUGCACUCAGGAAGAGCUUGCUGAGAUGUUCAAGUAACAUUCCACGAGAAGUAACUCCGAGCUCUAGGAAGAACUGGGGGAGAGGAAUGUGGGGAAGAGAAGAGAAGAAGAAGAAAAAAAAAAAUCGGGCUAUUGGCUUGAAAUGGCAAAGGAUGUCUCAACAUUCAAUUUCUCUCAAGCUAAAUCCUGUUGUGUUUUGAUGUCACUAAGCUGCAGUCACAGAUUGUUGUUGUUAGCUGCCCUUAAGUCGGCCCUUGACUCACGGCAACCCCAUGCACAACAGGAUGAAUCGCUGCCCUGUCCUGCUCUAUCGCUGUAACCGACUGCGAAUUGGACCGUUGUGAUCCGUAGGGUUUUCAUUGUCUGAUUUUCAGAAGUAGAUCGCCAGCCCUUCUUCCUAGUCCACCUUAGUCUGGAAGCCUCACUGAACCCUGUUCAGCAUCACAGCCACAUGCCAGCCUCCACUGACAGAUGGGUAGUUGCUGCGGAUUGGGUGCACUGGCUGGGAAUUGAACUCAGGUCUCCGGCAUGAAACGUGAGAAUUUCACCACUGAACCACCACUGCCCCAACAGUCACAGAUUACGGAGGGCUUAUGCCAGAUGAAUAUGUACCUCAAGCAUAGUAGGUGCUCAACAAACGUUCCCAGAAUGAAUGACUGUUGCUGUGUUUAUGUUUCGUGAAGGAGCGGAGCAGAGCAGAGAAAGGAAGAUCCUCAAGAAAUGGCCUUGAUAUCCCAAAACCAAACCCACUGUCAUCGAGUCGAACCCGACUCAUAGUAAAUUAGGAAAUGAUUGAACAUGGUUAAGAAAGAUUAACUAAGGGUAGAGGGGAAAUUGGAAAACGUUUUCCAAAUGUUUGUCUUAACUGUGAAAAACGUCUGGCCAGCAAACUCCCCCCAGCCCCCAAUUUGGAAGUGGUUUGUUUCAGUUGUUUUGGAAGAAAUAAAUAUUUGUGUUAGACCAAACAUUUGGGGCAAACAGUUUUCCCCAGUUCUGAGGAUCUGUGCAAGCUGGAGGAGAUGGUUCAUGCAGAUAACACUCAGACCUUUUUUGGCCAAGUUGAAGGUAGCUUAGGACACAGUCUUCACAUGCUUUUCACAUCACUACUCAAAAGAGGCUGAGCAAAUGGAAAGAAAAUAUGGAGCCAAGCAAUGAUCCUUCCAGACAUAGGAAUGGCUGAUGACCUGGCAUCUGAAGGAUGUAAUCGUUAAAGAAAAAUUGCCUUUCUGCUCAGGAGAAGGGAGACUGGAUCCAAUUAAGACAAGAAAAACGUAUGUUCACUCAGAAGAAAAAUGUCUAAACAGUCAAUUCUGUAAUCCUCUCUGAAGGGGGAAGAGGCCAAUGCGAUGGGGCUUUAUGGGUGAUGCCAAACCCUGUGAUAUAUAAUAAUUAGUAACCACUCGUUAUUUUGCCUCAAGCUUAUUCUCCAGACCACUAACCAUGGCUUGGGAUGGAAUGCGCCGGGCCUAGAGAUUUGCCCCAGAUGUCUUCCCAUCAGUAGUUCCCAAUUAGAGGGAUUUUUUUUUUUUUAAAGCUUAAUUCUCUCAAAUAUAUAGCAAAAUAUAAAUGAAGGAAGGAAAAACCUGAUUUUCUCAGAUGGUUCAGUUGGUUACCAAGGUGAGGGCUAGUCUUAGGGGACCCUUCAAAGUACACUUCUUAGUUUACAUUUCAGUAACGGCUGGGUGACUAAUUGUUUUACACCAUGGUGCCUGGUAUUCUCUCUAGUCUUUUGGGUAGCUUAAAAAAAGCACUUCAGGAAUGACUGUGAGAGGGUAGAAAUUUGAGAGGCUGAUCUGGAGUCACUGUUCUUCCUGGGGAGACCUGGUGGCACAGUGGUUAAGAGCUCGGCUGCUAACUGAACGGUAGUUUGAAUCCACCAGCCACUCCUUGGAAACCCUGUGGGGGCAGUUCUGCCCUGUCUUGUAGAGUCACUAUGAGUUGGAAUUGACUCAACAGUAACGGAUUUGGUUUUUUUGGGUUCUUCCUGGGCAAGCUCUGAGAAGUGAACCUGUGACUGUAAUUUCUAUCACCCAGGGGGUGCCCGUGCACUCUAAAUAUCUGCCUUAAAAAAGAGAGCUUGGGGUUCGGUAGGAGCAAAGUUCUUAGGGAAUAGCCCUGGAUUGGCCUCUGCUACUUAGGAAAAAAAAAAAAAAACAUGUUCUUUUUACUUCAUGAGUGCUGUUCAUCCAGUGUUUAGGUGGUAUUUACUGUGCCCUCGGCUUCAUGCUAAAGUCCCUGGGUGGUUGCAAAUGGUUAACCCACUUGACUGCUAACUGAAAGGCUGGAGGUUCGAGUCCACCCAAGGCACCUUGGAAGAAAGGCCUGGUGAUCUACUUCCAAAAGAUUCACCAUUGAAAAGCCUAUGGGGCACAGUUCUACUCUAACAUAUACGGGUCGCCAUGAGUAGGAGUCGACUCCAUGGCAGCUAGCGUUUUGGCACCAUGCUAGGCUAGGAUGAGCAGUGGAGUCUCCCAUCUUCUUUCUAAAAGAAUCAUUAAAAAACUAUAAGGCCCUUUUGUGCCCCUCAUUUUAUUUGAUCCUUACAGUCCUGUGAGGUAUGUUUUAUUCUUGCCCCUUACAGAUGAAGCAUCAGAGGCUCAGAGAGGUAAAUGACUUAAUGACUUGCCCAAGAGCCCCAGCUACUUCCAGAGCCUGGACCCGGUGGCAAGCUGGUCUCCACAGCUACUUCAUCACAGCUGCUGUCUCCAAUAAUCUUACUGACUACUUGGAACGCCAACACUAACAUAUGUUGUUGCUGUUAGGUGCCGUUGAGUCAGUCCAAACUCAUAGCGACCCCAUAGAGCAGAGUAGAGCUGCCAUGUAGGCUUUCCAAGGAGCAGCUGGUGGAUUUGAACUGCUGACCUUUUGGUUAGCAGCCAAGCUCUUAACUACUAUGCCACCAGUGCUCCAUAUAAACAUCCAUAUAGGAGACAUUAAAAAAUGAAUUAAGUGUGUGGACGUGACUUACCAUUAGAUAGGAGUCAUUCUAUUUAAUUUUUAAGAGUUUGAAAUAUUCUCACAAACAGUGCAUGCCUGCUAAAGAAGAUUCCAACGACAAUGCAAAACAUUAAGAAGGAAGUCAAAAUCUCUCUCCUCUCUUGUGCCCCUUCUUCUGGUUCUGCCUUGCAAGAUAAUGCCUGUCAGCACUGAGGUGGAUGUUUUUCCAGACCUCUGUCUAUACAUGCACAUAUGAACGUGUAGAUUUAAUUGUAUACAAAAAAGCAUCCUAGAAUACACGCUGUUCUGCAGCUGUUUUCAGUCAACAGUGUGUUGUAGAGCUGUUCCGUAUCUGUGUUUAUAGUUUCCCAUGAAAUGGAUGGGUGUUAGCAAAAAUUGGGAAGGAUUUUGGAAGUGGGCAAAAGAUGACUGAGUGUCGUGUCACUGGCAUGCUGGAUGUUUGCAGCAGAUCCUAGGGGUUACCCAAUUCUGAAGGGGCCUGUCUGUGCUUUUCGUUAUCUUGGACUUGUUUUCUAAUUUAUUUAAUCAGGUCCCUAUAGUGGGCCAGUUAGGUUUUCCAAUUUUUAAAUAUAACUAAUGUAGGAAUAGCCUUGCCAUUAUAUAUAUUUUAUACAUCAUUAUGCACCAACUCUAUGGGGCAGUUCUACUCUGUCCUAUAGGUUCGCUACGAGUCGGAAUCGACUCAACGGCAGUGGCUUUGGUGGGUUUCAUGCACUUACCUAAAAACUUAAAAUUUUUUUUUUCCUAUGGGGAUAUCUGCCUAAUAACAUUGGCCGUCGAGCCAUUUCUGACUCACAGUGACCCUAUAGGACAGAGUAGAACUGCCCCCAUACGGUUUCCAAGGAGCAGCUGGUGGACUUGAACUGCUGGCCUUUUGGUUAGCAGCCAAGCUCUUAGCCACUGUGCCACCCGGGCUCCAGUGAUCCCAGUGAUCUACAAAGUAUGUUUUUUUUAUGAGAAUACUCGUAAGGUGAGGUGACAUUUUUGAGACCUUUCGGAUUUAACACCCCUCACCUCAGAGUCUUUUCUGUGUUAUUCAAAGCUUGGAUUUCAUUGCCCUUCGAUUUUGCAUGUAUAAAUCAGGCAGGGGAGAAUACAGGCUUAAAUAACUAGCCUGCAGCUUUGUAAAGGUGGUCCCAUAUUUCUCUCUUUGGAUCCUCGCCACCACUCUGUGAGGUAAAACUGUUAGCUAUAAUAAUUCAAGCUCAGAGAGGUGAAGCAGUUUUCCAGGGUCACACAGCAAGUGCCUGCUUUUGCACUUCCCCCUCUAGUGCUAACCCAUUACAUCUUUACGUCUAAGGUCUUUCGCAUUUGUUUGGACACUGCACAACUCUUGGGGCAUUGUUCACAUCAUAGAGAUAGUCAUUUCCAGAUGUAUCAUGACAGGUGUCAGGAAGUUUCUUGAGGAAGGGGCACCCUUUCCGAAUUCUCACAAAGGUGUGGCAUAUGGUGAUGGUAGUCCCUUUCAUGUCUUUUGCUCUUGUCUUACCUGGUACCAUAUUGUCACCCAGGAGUUUUCUGUGGCUUUUCCGUCAGUAACUACUUUGAUUGGAGAUUUCCAUACAAUUUACCUAGGUGAGAGUCAUAUGAUUCCCACCUUUGUUACACACCUUGAGAAUUGAAAGCUCAAAUAAAAAUACUAUUUUUUUUUUUUUUUUAUGGGGCCCUUCCAUCCCAUUCUGCCUCCCUCCCUACAUCCCUCUAAGAUGGGCUUGGCAUGAGGGCAGAGUCAAAAGCCCAAGGUCUUUAAGAUUUUUGUGAGUAUCAGAGGAGAGAGUGGCAUUUGCUUCCCUGGAAACAGUGGAUGUGUUAGCCUGCGGUCCUCCGUGUGGCUCAUUGCCCUUCUGCCUGGAAGCAGCAGACUGACUAACCCCAGAGAGGCCGCCCCUUAAUUGGAUGAUUAGCCUGACAUGGUUGUGCGGUCGGUGUCUUCUCAGAGUGCAGAAAGGAGCUCUGCCACACCAAGGGCAGCUCCUUCCUUCCCCCGAGAAGGAAUCUGAGGUCCCAGGGAAUCCCACAUGGGCGGCAGUGCCAGGGCAGAAACAGGCUCCAAGUGCGCCAGGUCCCCAGGCCUGGCUUUCCCCCCAAGCUGGCUGGACAGCUCUAAUAAUACUGAUUCCCAGGCUCUGCCCCUGAGGUACUGAACCAGAAGCUCAUGGGCAGAGCCUGGGAAUCUGUAUUUUAAAAACUCCCCAGGAGAGUCUGAGGAUUGGCCAGGCUUGGCAAUCAUUGGUCUGAAGAACCUUCUGUCUAACUGGUUUUCUGAGCCUCUUCUGAGAUUAUCUCAGGAGACUGUACUGUUACCCUGACUUCCGAAAUAGGAACUCUCCUCUGCAGCUUCUCUAACAGGUAGUUUCUGGCCUCUGCUUGAAUCUCUUUGGUGAUGGAGAUCUCACUCCCUCAACCAAGGCAGCCCAUUCCAUUUUGAACAGCAGUGAUGAGGAGAGAAGUUUCUUGUCUCACCUACCAAAUUGAAAACUCUCUGAUGUCUGGGACUAGGACUCUUCCUUUCUUUCUGUCUCCCUGAGACUCACCAAUGUUCGCGGUAAGCCCAAGAAUGCCUGGAGGCAAUGUUAACCCAUUAGGUACUGGUUCUGUUCUUUGUGGGUAUCAAAAAUAAAUUUAAGUACCGUGCUCGUUUAAACAAAUUAUCUAUAUGAGACCAGAUGGAUGACAGUUACUCUGAAGGAUAGAUGAGAAGUUUGGGGGGCAGUGAGACUAAGUUAAUGGGAGUAAAACAACUAGAACAGAAAUAAUAAGAAUGUUGACACAACGUGAAGAAUGGAACCCAUGUGAUGGAACAUCAUGUGUAGAAGUUGUUGAACGGGAGCAGGUUUUGCUGUGUAUAUUUUCACCAAAAAUACAAUAAAAUAUUAAAAAAAAAAAUGUACCCACUCUUGAUGUGGAGGCCCAUCUGGUAUCAGCGACAGCAGUGAUGCCCCACUGCAGAACGAAAACCAGCACCCCACAUAUGCCUAUACCCAUGUUUUCCUCACCUCAAGCUCAAGUAAGAGAUACGUUCAACCAAGGGUCCGACUCUGCUAGCAGAUGGCGGCGGUGUUGGUAACAUCCCAGAAAGCUUAAGGAUGUGGAAGUUUAAUAACCUGCCAGAGGUGGGGUCAACACACCAUUUUUUUUUUUCUGUUCAAGGUAAUGUGGCAUCUUCUCUUGCUGUUAAGUGCACCGAGCCAGGCUGUUUCAAUUCCCAUUGAAAACUCAGUCGGCAGCUGCAGUGAAAAGGUGGCAGGGGAGGGAAAGCUCUACCACCAACGUGCUGCAUGAGCUUAGGUGGGCUGCUUGACCUCUCUGAGCCAAGCUUUCCUCAGCCGUAUAAAUGUGCAGCUUGGCCCAGGUGACCCCCGGGGCUCUUUCUACCCUUUGGAUCUUGAGAAUUUGCCAGUACAUUUUCCCCAGAUAGUAAUUCACCUGUGGGUACUUGAUAAUAAAAUUCGAUGAGCAGGCAUUACACAUUAAAAUGAAAAUUACUCCAAGGAGAGAUUUAGGCCCAGGAGGGGUUUACCUGAGUAAUAGAAACCAACAGGAAUAAGCCCUGCCGCCACUGCUAAUUUCAUUGAUGCCUGCAAUCUAAGAAAGGCUGAUAUAUGAUUCUAGUAUUUUCCUUAGUGGAUUAUAGAGAGGGAAAUUAAAUCAAAAGUCAAAAAUAAACACAGUUUGAUUGUUCUACACUACAUUAUCUUAAUAAGCAGUCUUCCUGGAAAGUUUAAAAAUACACAGUGCUCUGUCUGACCAAAGAAAAUGAUAAGUAAAUAUUGUUGAGAAAAUGUAAGAAUUUUCCGCCUAGGAGAUAGGAAUGAUGGAAACACUGCCACUUGGACUUGCAGACGUCCGGCCAGGAGCUGGGAACAGGUCAGCAUUACCUGGGUUUAAAGGCUUAUGGUUGGCAGCACUGGUGUCACAUCUGGGGGAAGGGGCUGGCUGUAGGUACAGGCACUGCUGCACCUUCUUAUAGGAUCCUGGCAAGUCCUGACCCACAUCUUCAUUCUGCUGCAAUGUCCAGUCUAGAUGUCUGCCUUAUCUUGACUGGUGACUCACAGGUUUCGUAGCCUCAAUGACCCUGAGAGGACUGGUGGUUCACGUCUGCUUAAUUUCUCCACAGCUGCAAGAGGCAAAAAGUGGACACUGGUGAUCGGGUUCUAGUUCAAGCCUUGUUGCUAACUUGCCUGAGGCUGCAAUUUAGCCUCUCUGGUAACUUCAUCAUCUGAGUCAUAAUAGAAGUUAAAAGUCAAGUGACAAGCAGGGAAAAUAGCCCUAAUAUAUACAGUACUCUUACAAAAAUCAGACUGAGAAGCUAGAAAUAUCCAAUAGAGAAAUGAGGAAAGAACAUGAAGAAGUAAUUUGCAAAAGAAGACAUAGCCAGUAAACAAUAUGUAUCAGGCAGGAGUUUUGGUUGCAUGUGACAGAAAUUCAGUCUCAACUAGUAUAGACGAGGGAGAACUCAGAGGGAAGGAUACUGGGUUAGCUUGUAUUUCAGCAGAAGGGUGAGAAGUACAGGGACCAGGCUGACCCUGAACACUACCAGCAUUCUUUCUCUCUCUCAUCUUGCCUCUCCUGAUCUACCAGCUUCACGGUUGCUCCGUGUUUCUCAUAUGGUGGAGAAACAUGUCAUGUGCAAGCUCUCAAUGGCUUUAUAUCUUGUAACUUCCACCAGUGGAGAGAAACUGGCAUUUUCCUCUAUAAUUCUGAUUUGAAAAAUCCUAAGGAAUUACUGAUUGGCCUGUCUUGUGUCAGUGGACCACCUUGGAACAAUCAACUUAGAUUGCAGGCAGCAAUUCUUGGAUUCAAUUAGCUUAGAUUGCAGGCCAGAGGGGUGAAGUCACGUGAGAACAUAGUGGCUCUUGCUAUAGCCAGAGAGGAUGGGGCUUGUAGGUGGGGAGGUGGUUUCUAGAGAAAAGGAGAGGGUACUUACUGGUCUGAAGGCAGACUACACAUGAAAAGAUCCCCAAUCUCACUAGUGAUGAAAGAUACACAAAAAUUAUGAGAGUUUUAUUUUUCCCUGUUAGGUUGGCAGAAAUCUGAAAGAUUGAUAAUUACCCACUUAAGAAUGUACGGGUAAGGAGGUUCUUUUAUCCAUUACUUUCCCAUUGCUGAUAAUCACUACCACUGCCGUUGAGUUGAUUCUGACUCACAGUGACCCUGUAGGACAGGGUAGAACUGUGCCAUAGAGUUUCCAAGGAGAGUUUGGUGGAUAGGAGUGUAAAUUGGUAAAUCUUUCUCAGUAUAUUCUUCAAAAGGCCUAAAAAUGUACGUAACUGCUGACCUCGAAAUGCCAUUUCUAAGUUUUGAUCUUAAGGAAAAAUAAGUGGACAAAUGAUAUGUAGGAGACUAUAGAGGAUUUUAUCAUAGAAAUUGGAAACAACUUCAGUGACUGUCCACACAGGAUAAAUAAAAUGAAUUUUGGCAUAUUCAAGUAAUGAAAUCCUGUAGCCAUUAAGAAAGAGCCCUGGUGACGCGGUGGUGUAAGCAUUUGACUGCUAACCGAAAGGUUGGCACUUCAAAACCCCCAGCAGCUCCGCGGGAGAAAGAUGUGGCAGUCUGCUUCCCUAAAGAUUACAGCCUUGGAAACCUAGGGGGAAGUUUUCUUCUGUCCUAUAGGAUUGCUAUGAGUUGGAAUCAACUCUAUGGCAGUGGGCUUGGGUUUUAAAAAUUGUGGAGAUCAUUUCUUAUUGACAUGGAGAGAUGAUCGUGAUACCGUGAAAGGAGGUUAGGAAAGCCUGGAAUUUGCACAGUGAGUAUACGUUACACUUAGAAUUAGAAGAACAAAGUUAGUUCCAUGUGGGGACAGGGAAUCACAUUCAGUGCUUUGUUAAUGUAGGCCACCUGAUAGGACCAUAAAGAAAUAAAAUCCCUAAAAAAUAAAAUAAACAUGGCAGGCUUUGUGCAUGUCCUCCUUAGCAUUUUACCAUGGGAAGUCAUAAGCUUAUUCCAGCUGUGUGGCUGGAGUUUCUCCUUGGACCUGCUUGAUGACCGAUUACCUAAUGGAAUGUGUGAAUAAAUGCCUUAAUUCAUCUCACCAAAAAAAAUCAAACCUGUUGCUGUCGAGCCAAUUCCAACUCAUAGCGACCCUAUAGGACAGAGUAGAACUGCCCCAUAGGGUUUCCAAGGAGCAUCUGGUGGAUUUGAACUGCCAACCUUUUGCUUAGCAGCCGCACUCUUAACCACUACGCCGCCACCAGGGUUUCCUUAGUGCAUUUAGUACACUUUUUUUGUGUGUGUGUCUCCUAGGUGGUGACACGUAUUUGUCUUUCAAGUAUGAAUUCGACUUUGAGAAGAAAAUCCUUUAUUGUCAAAAUUUGUUGAUAUUCACAAAAAAAUUCCUUUAGUGUCAGGUUUGAUGCAUAAGGCAGGGACCCAAAAGGGUGGCAGUUUUGCAGGUGGGAAGUGGGCAGAAUUAAGACUGAAAUGAAGAAUGGGGCUCUGUCUAGGACCUCUCAAGUCUGCCAGGGCACCUGCCUGGUUAGGCCGGGGCUCUUCUGAGUGGGUGGGAGGUCAAUAUUUGCUUUGAGAGGAACUACCUGGCAGGUGCUUUUAUUCUAACUUCCUGUCUCCCUUAUUAUGCUUGAAGGCUGUGGGAGGGAAGAGCUUGGUCCUUGUCUGACAAGCUGGGAAGUUGAUGAAGAGACCCGGUGACUGUCUGGAAUCCUGUGACCAGGGGGGCACCAGCUCUGGCUGGUGAACUAAUGACCAGAUAAUGAGCAGAGACAUCUUUGGGGCGUGCAAAAUUGGAUUCAGUUUAACUGGAAUGUACGUCCCACCUCCUGGAUGUGUAACACAGAGCAAGGUGCUGCAGGAAUGCAAGAUGAAAGAGAUUGCUCCUCCCCUUUGGGAAGUUCCAGUCUAGUUGUGGCAAAGACAAGUCCAUGACCAAGUACAUAAUGAGAUUGACUAUGCAUACAAAGACAGUUGUGAUGGGGGGAGGGAUCAGUAAAGGUUUCAGAGAGAGGUGGCAUUUGGGCUGCACCUUGAAAGCUGGUGGCUGAUAGUAUGACAGCCACGGUUAACGGAGCCCCUACCAGAUGUCAGGCCCUGUGAAGGGAGCUUUAUAGUUAUUUUUCACUACAGGAGCCCAGGUGGCGCAAUGGUUAAGUGCUCAGCUGCUAACCCAAAGGUUAGCAGUUCGAGCCCACCGAGCUGUCUGAGGGAGAAAGACCUGGUGAUCUGCUCCCUCAAAGAUUACAGCCUAGAGAACCCUAUGGGGGAGUUCUGUUCUGUCACAUGGGGGUUGCUAUGAGUAGGACGGCACCAAAGAACAUUUUUCACUACAGCCCUAUGAGUUAAUUAUCAUUGUCAUUUGCAGAUGACAGAUUCAACAGAGAGGCAAGUACUUGUCAAAGAUCACAGAACAGAGAAGUGUUGAAGCUGAGAUUAACCUUAGAGCCCGUGCAGUGGGGAGAAUUCCAGCCAUGAGGUUACAGGGUGGAGUGUGGUGGAGACAGGCUCUGGCAGUGGGGAAGGCAGAGGCCAACAGUGGUGACUGGGGGGAACAGUUCCAGGUGGUUCCCUUUACCUGGAGCAUGGAGUCUCUGUAGGGGAGCAAGGGGCAGGAAGGCUAGAGAAGUAGAAAAUGAUAUCAGAAGGUCUCUGAAUGUCAAGCCCAAAAAUCCAAGUGUAAAUUUUUAGGCACAAGGGAGCCACUGAAUGUUUUUGAGCAGAGGGAGCUGAUACUAGCUUGAAGACGCUGGACCUGGCAACAGAGAUCAUGAAACCAAAUGGACAGUGGUCCUGAGAAGCAUGUGCGGAGGACCAGCAUCCUGGAAAAACAAGAGGAUGUGGGCUGGGUGGGAGAAGAUUUGGGGGCUGAGUCUCCAGAAUUUGGCAUCUGAUGGGAUGUAGAAGUAAGUGGAGGGACAAAACUAUGAAGUCCGAGCCCAGAUGACAUGGCAGGGCAGUCAGGAGAGCCGCUGGCCCUGGUGAACGGUGUUAAGCUGUUUUGGCCUCAUUAGGUGGAGGAAGGAGCCCUGGUGGAGCAGUGAUUAAGAGCUCCAUUGUUAACCAAAAGGUCGAGGGUUCAAACCACAAGCCUCUCCUUGGAAACGCUAUGGGGCAGUUCUCCUGUGCCCUGUAGGGUCUCUAUGAGUCAGCAUUGACUCCAUGGCAACUGGUUAGGUGGAGGAAGGAGUCCCUGGGUGGUGCAAACUGAUAAUUGUGCUUGGCCACUAUUUGAAAGGUUGGAGGUGUGGGUGGUCCAAAGGUACCUUGAAGAAAGGCCUAGGAUCUGUUUCCGAAAUAUCACAGCCAGUGAAAACCCUAAGCAGCAGAAUUCUAUCUGGACACACAUGAGGGUCGGCAUGAGUUGUUACGCAGAGGAUGGCCAGCGGAGCCUGGGAGGCUGCAGAGAUCCCCCAGGCCAGAGGCGAGGAUUCGGAGGACCGAGCACAGCAGCAGCUGUUGAAGAAACAGUAAGAGUAGAUGGCGUCCAUUGUUCUUCCCUGUCCAGCAGCACUCCCUCUCUUCCUGCUAAUAGCACCUCAAUUUUUCUUGGGGAACCCGUUCUCUCCGGUAUUGGGUCUCUGUAGUUGGGUGGAGGUGACUCCCAUUGGCUCCAUACACCGACACGUGAUUGGCCCUAGCCAAUCAGAGCACACCUCUCUGGCCUCAGGCGCUGCUUCUGGGAUGAGUGUGUGUGUCCAGCCAGGUGGGUGGUUUUCUAAAUGUCCAGAAAGGGCUGCUCAUCCUCUGCUGGGGUUGGCAAACUGGUGGGAGAGAAGCCAGGAGCUGCUGGUGGCUCUCUGCCACAGCCUGAGAAUAAAGGUGACAUAGGAAAAUGUUGAAUCAAGUGGCUGAUGUGGAGGGCACAGGGGAAAGACGGGAUGGAGAGAGAUCGAUUGAGAGACGGAGGUUGAGAUUCCUCAUUAGUAGUUCUGACUUUGGUUUCCAGCCAUCCUUGAGGCCAGAUAUGCACCCAUGAGCUUCCUGUUUAGGGGAACCAACAAUUGGAUGCUUGUCAUCAAAGGGUCCUGACUGGGUCGGCUAAAAGUCAGGACGCUAGGGAAUGCCUUCCUCAGGGAACCCAAGAAAGCAGGACUGGAGCCGUGGGUGUGGACAGGAGGAGGUAGCACGGGAGGGUCUCCAGUUAUAGUAAAAAAAAGAUCUGAAAACAAGUAAACAAACAUGCUUGUCACCAUGGAGAUGCGAACCCAUGGCCUUGGGAACAAUAGCUGUGUGUGAGCCUGGAAGUAGACCCUGCCCACACGGACAUUUAUGUUGUCAGUUCCCCCUAGAGAGGGUAACACCUCUGUCAGCCAUGGUUUCAUCAUCACUGGAAUAACUAUAACCUAAUGGCAGUUCUACUCUGUCCUAUAGGGUUGCUAUGAGUCGGAAUCGACUCGAAGGCACUGGUUGUAAUACAGUGUUUAAGGAGUACCAGGGACCUGCUCAGAGCCAACCUUUGAGGCCGCUGCAGUUUUUAUCUGGAUUCUACAAAUGAAGAAAUGGAGGCUCAGAAAAUUUCAUUUACUUGCCCAAGGUCACAGUUACUAAUGGAAGAACUGGGAUUUGAACCCAGAUCCCUGAAUAUGUACCCUUUGAACCACCAUGCUCCACUGGUAUUGAAAAAAUAGUAACAAAAGUAACUAAUACUUUAAAUGUCUUUUCUCAUUUAAACCUAUGAGGUAGAUGUUGUUGGUUGCUUUGAUUCAUGGUGAUCCCAUGUGAUAGAGUAGAACUGCCCCAUAGGGUUUUCUUGGUUGUAAUCUUUAUGGAAGUAGAUUGCCAAGUCUUUGUCCCACAGAGCUGCUAGGUGGGUUCGAACCACCAACUCUUUGGUUAGUAGCUGAGCACGUUGCACUACUAGGGCUCAUUAUGAGGUUAAUAAUAAUAAUAAUAAAACCCAAACCCAUUGCUGUCAUGCUGAUUCCAACUCAGAGAGAUCCUAUAGGACAGACCAGAACUGCCCCAUAGGGUUUCCAAGGAGUGGCUGGUGGAUUUGAACUGCCAAACUUUAGGUUAGCAGCCAAGCUCUUAACCACUGCCCCACCGGGGCUCCAUGAGGUAGAUACAACUGGUUAAUCCCAUUUUAUAGAUAAGGAAACUGAGGCACAGAGGAUUGAAGAAUCUUAUCCAAGUUCCACAGUCAGUAAGAAGCAGAGGUAUAUUUUGAGGUUAUUUUCCAGAUGGAUCUGAAAUGCUAAGGUGCCCUAAACUUAAUUUGGAAGUCCAGGAUGGGUGAUAAUUAUAAUUUCUAAAUUUGGCUCUCAUGGAUUGUGAUGUUCUUCAUGGUGGGUGUAUAUUAAAGAAACGAAUCAGGAGAGUGAACAUUGUGGACAGAGAAUCAUAACGACUUGUCUUUUACUACUGGAAAACCAUAUCCUGGAACUCACAUGUAAGUAAUUGGAAAAUGUUAAAGCAAAAGAGUGAGGUUUCAAAAACAAAAUCACACCAUUAAGUCUAAGUUAGUUCCUUGGUGAAGAAAAAAUCAGAUGUACUACUGUUCGUGGGCUGGCCGGACGUGUUACAAAUGCUGUGAUGUGGGAGUGUGUGACAAAUUUUUUUUUCAUUGAGGGCCCAUUAAAGACACGCUCAGGCUGCUUAAAUGCCCUGAAGCUAGAGAAUUGGUUCAGUAACAAAAAGCAUGAAUCAUUUUAACAUGAAGGUGCAGGGACAUUUUGCUUGAGUCAUUUCUAACUUUUUUUUCCCCCUUUUUGAAACUGUUAUAUUUAGGAUCUACUGUUAGAAAUAAAAGUGAAUUUGAAGACUGGUAGCUUACAAGCUUCAUGAGGACAGGACCUGUGCCUGUUUAUUGCUUGUUGUUGUGUGUCUCUGUGCAGUAAAACCAAAACCAAACCCUUUGCCGGUGAGUCAGUUCCAACUCAUAGCAAUACCAUAGGACAGAAUAGAACUGCCUCAUAGGGUUUCCAAGGAGGGGCUGGUGGAUUUGAACUGCUGACCUUUUGGUUAGCAGCCAUAGCUCGCUAUAGCUCUUAACUACGGCAUCACCAGGGCUCCCUGUAUACAGUAGGUACUGAAUAUUUUUAGAAUGAAUGAUGAAUCUGGGAGCACCGGGAUUCUGCUGCACACCUUGUUCACCUCAGGUGGUUGACCAAAGGCUGAUAGAAACUUCUAGCAAAAUUCCAGCUGGCUUGGGGGCUCAGAGUCAAGGGCAGAGCUCUGGUCAGCUAGACUACGUGGCCCAGUCUAAGAGGGCUAAGGGGUUUCUUCCUCCUCAGGUUCAGCCCCAAUCUCAACUGUCUUCACCCUGCCAGAAAGGGUGGCAGUCCCUCUCCACCAGGACAGGAGAGAGGAUGCUUGGGAGACAGGCAGAAGAUGCAGGAGGCAGCUCAGGGCCUGGCUUGGAGCUGAAUUAAGCCUCAGUCAGGUGUUGGCACUGAACCUGGCUGCUCCCAGGGCGUAUAGGCCAGGCAAUGGUGACCUGUCCAGGGAGACUCUGCUUCUACCCUCUAGGACCUCCAGGUCACUUCUGGGCCUCAACGGUGGAGGACUGUCAUAAUUAAGAACUAAUGUCUCUGGGUGGUGCACACCGUUAAGCCCUUGGCUGCUAAUCGAAAGGUUGGUGUUUUGAGCCCACCCAGAAACACCUCAGAAGAAAGGCCUAUCUUCUUCCAAAAAAUCAGCCACUGAAAGCCCUGUGGAGCACAGUUAUACUCAGACACAGAUAGGGUCACCAUGAGUUGCAGUCGACUCAACAGGAACUGCUUUUUUUUUUGUUUUUUAAAGUAUGCUUUAUACUUUACUAAGCACUUUAUACUUUCUCACUGUGUUAUUUUAUUUUUUUUUCAUUAGGACUUCUAUCUUACUGUUUCCCUUUCUGUUACACAGAUGUUAGGAAAACGUUAAUGCGUCUCCCACCAUUUGACAGCACAGAAUACUUUAUCUUAGUCCUUACAGGAUUCUACUAGGAUUGUGCAAUUAUUAUCCCCAUUUUAUGGGUGAGGAAAUUGGGGCUUGAAAAGAUUAAGUAACUUGCCCAACAUCUCAGUUGUCAAAACCAAAGAAGAUAGUCUGACCCUUAAGCUCCUUUUCCUUCCCUGCUGUGUCUAUGGCCCACACCCUGUCAGUGAGUUUGGGAAGGAAAGCACAGGACUUUGUUUUGUAGCAGGGUUGUUUGAUUGACUGGUUUUCCAUCAAUCAUAACGGCCUGUGAACAUGCUAAGGGUUUUGUGCUCAGUGUACCAUUUUUAUCGGGAAAGGGCCACUGCCCAUGGUAUCUCUCAUAGAUUUUUUUUUUUUUAAUGUGCUUUAAGUGAAAGUUUACAAAUCAGAUCAGUCUCUCAUACAAAAACUUAUACACACCUUGCUAUGUACUCCUAGCUGCUCUCCCCCAAUGAGACAGCACACUCUUCCUCUCUACUCUGUAUUUCUCGUGUCCAUUCAUCUAGGUCCUGUCCCCCUCUGCCUUCUCAUCUCCCCUCCAGGCAGGAGCUGCCCACAUAGUCUUACGUGUCUACUUGAGCCAAGAAGCUCACUCCUUACCAGUAUCAUUUUCUGCCUUAUAGUCCAGUCCAAUCCCUAUCUGAAGAAUUGGCUUCCAGAAUGGUUCCAGUCUUGGGCUAACAGUGAGUCUGGGGACCAUGACCUCCGGGGUCCCUCUGGUCUCAGUCAGACCAUUAAGUCUGGUCUCUUUAUGAAAAUUCGAGGUCUACAUCCCACUGUUCUGCUCCCUCAGGGAUUCUCUGUUGUGUUCCCUGUCAGGGCAGUUAUCAGUGGUAGCCGAGCACCAUCUAGUUCUUCCAGUCUCAGGCUAAUGUACUCUCUGGUUUAUAUGGCCGUUUCUGUCUCUUGGGCUCAUAUUUACCUUGUGUCUUUGGUGUUCUUCUUCAUUCUCCAUUGCUCCGGGUGGGUUGAGACCAAUUGAUGCAUCUUAGAUGGCCACUUGUUAGUAUUUAAGACCCCAGACGCCACUCUCCAAAGUGGGAUGCAGAACGUUUUCAUAGAUGUGUUUUAACAAAAGUAAUUAUAAAGUCAAUUCUCUAGGUAAAUGCAGGUAAAGUGAACUUCAGGAAAGUGAAUCUUAUUUUCCAAAUUAUUUUCUUCCUAAAAAGAAGACUGCUUCCAGGAAGCAUUAGUCACUAGGCGAGGUGUGAAGAAGACUGCAGCCUCCAGAGCGGUUAAGAGAAGAGGAAGAACAGCUACAUUUCUGGGCCUGGAAUCUGCCUUUGGCCACGUCCUACCUCCAUGCCUGGCUCUCCUGCACCCGUGGGUACUGCUCCAGGGUCUGUGCUGUUCUGUGCAGAUAUUGGCAGUGCCUUUUUGUAGUGCUGGGGUCAGGGUGUAGCAGGGGCUACUUGUCAUCUAGCCCAGGGCUUGCAAACUGACUCGCACCAAACCUAAACCAAACCCAUUGCCGUGGAGUCGAUUCCGACUCAGAGCGACCCUAUAGGACAGAGUAGAACUGUCCCCAUAGGGUUUCCCAGGAUUCGAACUGCCGACCUUUUGGUUAGCAGCCAUAGCUCUUAACCACUGUGCCACCAGGCUUCCUUGGCCUACUCAGUGGUUUAAAAGCUAGAAAGUUUUUUUUUUUUUAUAGAAAACUGGAAGUUCUGGCCAUAUUAGGUGAGAAGUCUUACACAGUAACCUUUGUCUAAAAUUGGAUAUUGGUUAUCUCUUUUGGGAGGAGGUUCCAGUAAAAGGGACAGGUUAUACCAAGUGCCUUUUACUCGUUUGUCACCUGACAGCCCCUGAAGCUUUGGUGCCACAAAGAGAAGCAUAAAAGGGCAGGGCUCUUAAACUUCAGGGAGGCAAAGAUGGAAAGGAGGGAGGGGGUCAGGGAAGGCAGGUGGGAUGGGGGCAGAGAAACCCUCCCAGCAGCCUCUCCUGCUCCCCACGAGAACAUUCCCACACAAAGGAAAUGGCAGCCAAUGAGCUGGGAAAUACCCAAGUUUAAGCUCAAAUGAUGCUGUUUACAUGUUCUUACAGGAAGGACUAUUAUGGAUUAUGGGCGAGCUGGUAAUGGGUUGUAUGUCCAUGGAGAAAAGAGGCUGAGGCGGAGGAGGCUCGGGCUAAGGGAUGGAAUGGCUCUAAACCUGGCUUUUUGCAUUUCCUGUCUUGCCACUUACAGUCUGCUUGGGGACUAAAGCCUUUGGGUGGGGGAUGGUGCUAAUCUGAGAAGGAAGGAGAUCUCUGCCUGUGUGGUUUCUGUUUCACAUUCUGAAUGUUUUAGGGCGCAGAGAGGGGUUUUCCCGUCUGAAGAGGGGAGUUAGGCUGUUAGGUGCUGUUGAGUCAAUUUCAGCUCAUGUGACACCCCAUGUGAUGGAGUGGAACUUCCCCAUAGGAUUUCCUAAGCUGUAAUCUUCACAGAAGCAGAUCGCCAGGUCUUUCUCUAGCCGAACUACCGGGUGGGUUUGAACCGCCAACCUCUCAGCUGCUGAAUGCUUAACCACUGUACCACCAGGCUUUUUGAAGAGGAGGGGGUGCCCCUUAAAGAGGAUGGGGGCCGGCAGCUCUUCCCUCUUCUGUAUAGCUAACAGGAGGGAGGGUCUGUCUUUACUGGUCUCCUGGAUGGAGGAUGGACCACAAGGAGGGGUGCCUUGCCCCAAAGAUCACAAACUUUGGACUGGCUCACAGGGGAGGUGGCUGAUUUCCUCUGGAGAUUUAAAGAGCAGAGGUGUGAUUCCCUCUGCAAUGGUGGGUGCGGCCCUGCCAGGGGCUGGGAUGGACCGAGUCUUUGUUCUAGACUAGACACCUCACCCUUACCCACAGGUAAGAUUUCUGAGACUAGAAAGGUUUAGUCUCAAAAAACGAAAAAAACCCAAACCUGUUGCCUUCAAGUCAAUUCCGACUCAUGCAGGAUGGAGUAGAAUUGCCCCAUAGAGUUUCCAAGGAGCACUCGGUGGAUUCGAACUGCUGACCUUUUACCACGAUGCCACCAGGGUUUCCAGGUUUAGUCUCAGCAGAUUAGAAGUGCUACUAGAAAAUAAAGCAUCUCUGGAACCUUUGGCUUCUUGGGCAACAAGGCAGGACUUCUUGUGUUUGCACUAGUGACUUGAGCUUCAGUGUCAGAGAGCAGAGCAAUCCUACUCCUAUUUGAAGGUGGGCUGCACGAUCGUUGACUCUCUCAAGACCCCAGAUUAAUAUACCCUAAUGUGCUGUUUAAGGAGUAGCAGUGGAGAAAGAUGUGGCAGCCUGCCUCUGUAAAGAUUACAGCCUUGAAAACCCUAUGGGCAGCUCUUCUACUCUGUCCUAUAGGGUUGCUAUGAUUUGGAAUCAACUUGACGGCAAUGGGUGGUUUUUUUUUUUUUUUUUCCAAUGUGCUGUUUGGACUCCCUGGGUGGCGCACAUGGUUAAUACACUCAGCUGCUAACACUCAGAAGCACCUUGGAAGAAAGGCCUGGUGAGCUGAAAAAUCAGCCAUUGAAAACCCUGUGGAGCACAGACCUGCUCUGACACACGAGUCACCAUGAGCCAGAGCUGACUGGACAGCAGUCGGUUUUUUUCUUCAGGUUAGUUUGCUGUUUGGAAGUGGUUACCCACAUUCUUCAGCCUCUAAAUACCCCAAAGAAGAGUAGCCCCGUGGCUGGUGUAAGGAUUAAUAGUGUUGCCUUUCAUUCUCAAAGGGGUUCCUAUUUGGACAAUAAAUCACAUGGUCACUCUACCGUGAAAGAGCAGAAAAGGCUCAGUAGAGAACUUUGUUUCGAGCAAGGGCAUUGAAAUCAAGGCAUUUGAAAAACACUACUUUUAUUUGAAUAUCUAUUUCCUCUUUUUGUAGUCUAAAUGACUUGGACAACCUUCAGAGCCUGACUGCUUGCAGGAAAGACAGGAAGAAAGUUUUGUCAUUGGGACAUUCAUUUAAAAAAACAAAAAUAAAACAAGUGGGGCUCCCCAGUCAGGGGCAGCUGCUGUGGGCUGUGGGGCUGGAAUGGACCUCAGUGCUGCCUUCUGUCACCAUAUGGUUGUGCCUUAAAGGCCACAUUUUCUAAAGGAGAGAGGACCAGAGAAGCCUGGGGCUUGAGUGUCUGGCUGCUAACCAAAAGGUCAGUGGUUCGAGCCCACCAGCCGCUCCGAGGGAGAAAGAUGUGGCAGUCUGCUUCCAUAAAGAUCGUAGCAUAGGACCCCUAAGAGGUAGUUCUGUUCCAUUCUAUAGGGUCAUUAUGAGUCAAAAUCGACUUGAAGGCAACAAGUUUUGAUGCUUCAGAGCUUGAAAUAUCCGGGAUUGUAGAUGCCCAGGCCAAAGGGCCUGAGAGUUGGAGGGAGAAGGAUUGUGCCAAGCCUUCAGUCCUGAAGCCCACCUGCUGCCCCAUCCAUGACUACAGUUCAUUGCACAGAGUGGGGAUUUGGGAUCGGGAAAACCUCUGCUCUAGUCCCACGUCUGCCACUUACUGGCAGAGCAACCUACGUCUGCCACUUACUGGCAGAGCGACCUACGUCUGCCACUUACUGGCAGAGUGACCUAUAGCAAAAAGUUUUCCUCUUUCAGCCUCAGUUUCAUCUGUAAAAUGGGGAUGGUGCUGUUUCCUAUCUUCGGGGCUUCUGUGAAAACCAAAUGGAAGACAAUGGGUAUGGGUUAAGCUGGGACAGGCUAUGCCAGUUGAGGGUUGGCAUGUUGUCUGUGUGUGGUCACAAGGACUGCUGUUGCCUGUGGACAAAAGGGGUAGUAACCCUCGACACCUUUAUACCAGGGAACGCACGACAGAUGGGCUUUUGUGCACUCUCUUCCCAGCGCUGUCAGCAGCUGACAGGUUCAGUGAGGCUCUACCAGAGUGUUCAAGUAGCUUUUCCUGACACAGGUCUUUCUGCAGAUUCUGUCCCAUGCUGCUAACCACAAACUUCUCUGGGGACAUAUCUUUUGAUAACAUGAAGCUGGCACAGCUGUAGAAAGAGGUUUUAUGGCAGUAUUUUUUGUAAUUUGAAAAAUGGCAUAGUGGCUGGCACAUAGGAGUAUUCAUUCAUUCAUUCAAUCACCCAAUAUGUAUGUCUUAAAUCCUUACAGCUCUGUGCUAGGUACUGGAGCUAAUGGGGGAUGGGGAGGGGUGAACAUGGUAUCUGCCUUGAUCAUGGAACUUGUCUGCAGGUGUUGUAAGUAACUUGUGAUCUGUUAAAGAAAAGAAUAGACUAAGAGACCAAAGAUUCAGCACUGAGUGGUAGCAUUUUACUGCCAAGUGGGGAGCCCAGUCUAACAGAGGGUUUCGUUCUGAGGGGCAAGGUGUUGGGUGGGGGCAGGAAUGUGGCAGAUCUUCCAUAGUCAAAAGCUCAGGCUCUGUGUAGCAGGCGGUAUCUGGGUUUGUCAGUGAGGUGGGCACCUGGCUGCCUGGAGGUGGGCUUCGGGGGAUGAGGGCUGCCCCUUGGCAUCGUAGUGCCCGCUGCCCCUGCUGUACCCAUGAUAUGUCCUAUGACACCCAGUCAGGGUUAUGACACUCAUUGAGAUCUGCACUGGUAUUGGCAGGCUAGGUGGCCAGGUCAGGGCAUGUCCCCAUUAAAAAUAAUUACAAUAAUGUAGAAACAUGAAAUAUAUGAAAUAAUAAAUGAAAGGAAUAGAACAUAAAAGAUCCCAAUGGUGGUAUCUAGAAAUCCUUUGGUAACAUGUGACAGAAACUCAAAUCUAACUCCUUAAACAAUGAUGAGAAUAAUGGACCCAUGUGUCUUGGAAUCUAGGGGUAUUUCUGGACUUUUGGAUCCAAGGAUUCAAACAAUGUCUCCCCCUCCCCUCACCCCAGGUUCUUUCUCUCCAUCUCUCGGCUCUGCUUGUCUCUCCUUGAGCUCAAUUUUUGGUUGGAUCAGGGGGUCAAAUAACAGCUUAGCAACCACAGUGCAAAGAGAGCAUCUUUUCUGAAAACCAGCAGAAAUAACCGGGAAAGGACCCUUUUUGGCCAGAUGGUAUCACCUGCUUGCCCCAUGGCUGGGGUUGGGGGAGGGAAGGACAUUGGGACCAUGUGGAAUGGUUGUUACCGGGAGAGGAGGGAGGAAUGCUAAACAAGUGAAAACCACAACUGCCCAUUCCAGUUGCAUCGGGCAAAUCUGCUGCAGAAGACCACUUUAAAGUGUUCAAAAGCAAAAAUGUCACUUUGAGGACUAAGGUGCGCCUGACCUAAGCCAUGGUAUUUUUUAAUUGCCUCAUAUGCAUGGGAAAGCUGGACAGUGAAUAAAGAAGACCAAGGAAGAAUUGAUGCAGUUGUGGUGAAAAAUAUUGAAUGUACCACAGACUGUCAGAAGAACAAACGUGUUUUGGAGGAGGUACAGCCAGAAUGCUGUCUAAAAGCAAGGAUGGUGGGACUUUGUCUCAUGUAUUUUGGACAUAUUAUCAGGAGGGACCAGUCCCUGGAGAGGGACAUCAUGCUUGGUAAAGUAGAGGGUUAGUGAAAAAGAGGAAGACCCUCAACGAGAUGGACUGACACAGUGGCUGCAACAAUGAGUUCAAAUAUAGCAACAAUUGUGAGGAUGGGGCAGGACCAGGUAGUGUUUCAUUCUGUUGUACAUAGGGUCACUGUGAGUCGGAACAAAUUGGAUGGCACCUAACAAAUGGUUAACACGUUUGGCUAACAGAAAGGUUGGAGAUUGGAGUCCACCCAGAGAUGCCUUGGGAGAAAGGCCUGGUGAUCUGCUUCCAAAAAAUCAGCCAUUGAAAACCCUACAGGGCAGAGUUCUACCCUGACCCACAUGGGUCACCAUGAGUCAGCCUUGACUUGGCUUUUUAGUGCUCCUUCACAAAUUAAUCUAUUGAAGAUACCAGUCAUGGUCCAGCCAGGCAACCAGCAAGUGGGAUCCAGAAGGUACAACAAGAUGGGCCGUUCAGAACGUCAGCUAGUAUAGUUUUGUCUCGUCAGUUUUGGCAACACAUAUAGUUAUGUCACGAAUUUUGGAUUAGCACAGUAUUCCUAGUUGAGGUUUAAAGCUCCCUCCUGUACCUUCCAAACCAGGUGUUGCUUAAGAUUGAAAACAUUCAUUGUUUGGUCAACAGAGGCCCUCACAGCUCUGGCUGGAAUGUCACCUGAGAAGGACCCGUCUCCUCACAGAUUUGCAUUUCAGCACCUUCAGACUCCGCUCCAGCCAGCUGCUGUUUUAAUUGGCACAGAGGGACUGGCUGAGGGCCCCCUUGGGGUCCAUACCAGAUCCGAGUAUGAGGCUGGGGUCCUGGGAUCAGUCCACGCACUGGCCUGGGGAGACAGACUCCCUGACCCUCUUAUUUUCUGCAGAUGUUUUAGGUGAGGCCUGAAGACUGCAGGGGUGCCAGGUCUGACCAUCUGAUUCCAGGCCUCUCUUCCCCAGACUAGCGAAGGGCGGAAACUCUGAGAACAUUCCAUUUGAAUAAGAUGCAUUUAAUAAGAGCAAUGGAAAAUGGUAAACCUGGCUUGAGGAAAGGGAAUGUGCUCUUUCAUGUAGAACAAACAAACAAAAAAUGUGGCUGUGGGAGGCAUCCAAAAAAUAAGAUGACCUGGAGGCUGGAUUUGAAAAUUGGCACCGAGGGAAAUCUCAUUUCCACAGUUGAUGACUCUCCCUUCAGCUAUGUUCAUGCCAGUGGAGCAAACCAAAAUAACUUAAUAAAUUAAAGUUUAUAUAGUCAGGAAAGCUACGCCUGGAAUAUCACACACUAGAUGAAAACCUUGAAGGUUUUUUUUUCACCACUGACAUCCUUGGUUUGAAGGUUAAUGGUGUCUGGAGAAAGUUAGAUUAUGCGCAUAUGUAGUUUAAAAAAAAAUGACUGUUGAUUGUCAAAGAGAGACAGAGCUGUGUUUACUUACUAUAGUUUAUGCCACCGUUGUUUGUUUGUUUGUGGUUCCCUCUGGAAAGAAUGUCUUUGUCCUGCGGUAAUUAAUUGUAACCAGCUUUUGUUUAGAUUGGGUACAUGGAAGCUGCUCCUCCAAGUGCCCGAACUAUGUUGGCAAGUGAUGUUUUGUAACUUGGACCUCCAUUUUUUUUUUUGUUUUCUCUUCAUUUUAUUAUACAAGUAAUAGAAGGAUGCAUUUGGGUUGUAAAAGGUUCGAAUUAUAGAGCAGCAUGGGAACACAGGAAAACGUGAAAGUCCCCUCACUGCCAUACCUCACUACCUCCUUGACAGGUGACACUGGUGUGCUUCUUCCCAUAAGCUGACUGUUGGUUGACUAAUGACAUAGGGUUAUUAUGUACAUAUUGUUGCACAACUUGUUUUUUUCACUUAACGUGUCCAGAGUACCUUCUAGUCAGUACGUGUGUGUAUAUGUAUCUCUACCGAUUGUGAAGAUGGCACAAGACUGGGCAACGUUUCACUGAUAUACAUAAGGUCGCCAUGAGUUGGAGCUGACUUGAUAGCAGCUAACAACAACAAUAAACCAACCUGUUGCCGUUGAGUCGAUUCUGACACAUGGUGACCCUAUGGGACAGAGAAGAACUGUUUCUAAGGAGUUGGCUAGUAGAUUUGAACUGGCGGCCUUUUCGUAAGCAGCCAUAGCUCUUAACUACUGCGCCACCAGGGCUCCAAGAACAAUAGCAUGUAUGCAUGUGUGUAUAAAAGGAGCCCUGGUGACGCAAUGGUUAAGCGUUCGGCUUUUAACCUAAAGAUUGGUGGUUUGAACCCACAAGCGGCUCCAUGGGAGAAAAGACCUGGAGAUCUGUUCCCAUAAAGAUUGCAGCCUAGGACACCCUAUGGGGCAGGUCUGCUGUGUCACAUGGGAUCACUACAAGUUGAAAUAGACUUGAUGGCAUACAGCAACAACGUGUGUGUAGAACUUUUUUAAUGCUGCAAAGCAUUUCAUAAUAUGGAUGCCUGAUUUAUAUGAACAUUUCCCUACCUUAUUUUUUUUUGCUAUUGAAUGAGGCAAUAAUAGUGUGAGAUGAUGAGUAUGCUCUCUGGAGCUAGCCUGACUGGCUUUGAAGCCAGACUUUGCUCACAAGCUGAAUGACCUAGGGCAUGGGCUGGCAAACUAUGGCUCUUGGUCCAAAUACACCUACCUCAUGUUUUUCUGUGGCCUGCAAGCCAAGAAUGAUUUUUGUGGUAUCAAAUAGUUGGAAAAAACCCAAAAGAUUUCCUGAUAUAUGAAACUGAUAUGAAAUUCAAAAUUCAAUAUCCACAAAUAAAGUAUUAUUGGAACAUAGCCACAUUUGUUUGUUUACUUAUUGUCUGUAGCUGCUUUUAUGCUACAACAAGGCUGGGCAGUGUUUCAUUCUGUUAUACAUAAGGUUGCCAUGAGUCGUUGUAGCACCAGAACCAGUCCAGCUUUACGGGAGAUAAUGGUCAGAAUCGGUCCAAAGCUGAUUCCUAUGAGGUAGAGGUCAGACAUACCUUCACUCCAACCCUUUUACCAGUUCUGACAGGAGCUGUCCCUUCCACAGCACUCUCUACUCUUCUGUGUUUGAUAAUCUGUUUCAGUGGCCACACAGAACUCACGGACUAUACUUAACAGUUAAGUGGUUUAUUAAGAAUGUAACAGGGUAAAACUCGGGAUCAGCAUCAGCAGGCUACAACUUGGGAUCAAGGUCAGGAAGCAUGCAGGCAAAGUCUUCUUCAGUGUAGGACCACUCUUUCAGCUCCUCUCAACCAUGCAGGCCUCCAGUUGAUCCCCUGAGGACAGGCCCCUUCUUGGCCCCCAGAGGACAGGCCGCCUCUCGGCCCCCUGAGGACAGGCUCCUCUCAACUGUGCAGGCUUCCUCUCAGUCCCCUGAGGACAAGCUUCUCUUGGCUCUGCCAUCUGUCACCACUGACUCUGCCACAGGGCCCCUUCCUGGCCUGUCACAGCAGGCUCUGUUGCUGGGCCCCUUCUGGGCCUCUCACUGCCUUCAGUGUUACAGCCCUUGACCCAUGUUACCAGCUCUUUUAGGAGAUUCCUUGCCGCCUCUCUCCCUGUUUCUUCUCUCUUCCUUCUUUCUUCUGCUUCUUUCUGUCUGAAAAACCCAUGUGGAGUUGGCUGCGUUUAUACGCAACUCCGUGUCGGUUUCAAGGCAUGGUCCCUCCCAGUGGCGGGGGGGAAGGCACAAACUAACCAAUCCCCUCUCGGUAGGCCACAGAAACUUCAUUUGCAUAGUAGGCUAUAGUCACCCUAUUUGCAUAGUCUAUUGACCAAUCCCUGCAAGGUACGUACCAAACACAGGACAGGCUGCAGCCCAGGACCAGACAAAAAGUAUCAAACCAAGUUGUUUAGUUACCCAGGAAAUGUAACAAACCCUCUGGGGUACAAAACUAGGGCAAAGGUAAUUCCUCAGGGCUUAGGGGAAAAAUCCCUCUCAAGCUGUUUUUCCAAGGAACUAAGGCAAAAGCCACACAAAGGAACUCAUUUCACCACGUCAGCAGAGUGAAGAGUUGUGACAGAGACCAUAUGGCCUGCCAAAAAUAUUUACUCUUUAGUCCUUAGUCCUUUACAGAAAAAGUUCGCUGGUUCCUUACCUAGGGCAAGUUAUCACCUAUGUCUCAAGUUUCUCUUCUGUAAGAUGGAGAUAAUAAUAAUAUCACUUUGUAGGGCUGAGGGAGCCCUGGUGACCCAGUGGUUGAAGUGCUCAGCUGCUAACUGAAAGGUCGGCUGUUUGAGCCCACCAGCCGCUCUGUGGGAGAAAGAUGUGGCAGUCUGCUUCAGUAAAAAUUACAGCUUUGAAAACCCUAUGGGGCAGUUCUCCUUGCCCUAUGGGGCUGCUGUGAGUUGGAAUCGACUGGAUGGCAAUGAGUUUUUUGUUUUUUUUUUUAGUUUUGUAGGGUUACUUAAGUGAGUUAAUUCACAUAUCAAAUAUCCCAUGUCAGAUAUUCCAGAUGCAUCAUGAAUCAACUGUACACAUAAAUUCCAUGUAAAACACUUAAAAAAAACCCAAACCUGUUGCUGUUGAGUUGAUUCCGAUUCGUAGUCAAUUCUGACUCAUAGCGACCCUAUAUGAUAGAGUAGCUGGUGGAUUCAAAUUGCCAACCUUUUGGUUUGCAGCCAAGCUGUUAACCACUGUACCACCAGGGCUCCAUGUAAAAUGCUUAGAACUUUUUAAAUGCUCAAUAAAGGUUUAUUACACAUCAUUUUUAUCGUAACUCUUUGAGCAUAUGUGCAAGGGUAUCAUAAAUACUCUGAAGUCCAUUUGGUGAUGAGGGUAUGCUGAUAGUGUUACCAAAUUGUCUUCCAGAAUGACUUUACCAAUUUAAGUCCCACUGAUGGAAUCUCUUGCUUUCCCAUAUUCUUGACAGUUUUGGAUAGGGGCUCAAGGUACAGAUACGAAAACCGAGUCUUGGAAAAGUUGAGUGCUGACCUCCAAUAUAGGCUCCCAGAGCAGAUAUCCCUUUGGGGUGCUCUGCCCAGACCGCUGCGCUGGAUCCCCUUCGAAGGCUGUUCCCAAAUCAGGAUACUGUCACCAUUUGUGGCGUGAGGGCCUCUUCUGUGCCAACCACUUAACCCGUAAAAUCUCACGUUCAGCUUUCACAGCCACCCAUUUUACAGAUGAGGAAACUGAGGAGCUCAGAGAAGUUAAAUAACUUCACAAAGCUAAUAACUGCCAAACUGGGGUCCCAAAAAACUCUCUUCCUGUCAACUCCACUCUCCCUGCCUCCAGGAAAGGACAAGGAGAUCUCAGACACACCACAUUUUCCGCCUGCGCUUUUCCGAGUCAGCAUCUCAAUAACUGGGUAAGAGUGACAGGAAAAAUUUGAAGUGGUUUUGUCAUGGCCCAUGUUCUUCGUCUCUUGAUUUAAGUAGAGAGAAUUUGUAAUAUCUUCUACGCUAUUUCUCGCAGCCAGGGCCACAGUCUGUGCUGCUUAGUCAUACCAAGGGUGAUGCAGUUCUAAGAGAUAGCCCUGCUUUGGGCAAAAUGUCUAUUUUUAGGUGUCUCCGUGUGCUCUUGUCAAAGGCCUUUGCAACGGCGUUUCUCAUACCCUGUCGGCUGGUCUGCAAAACGCGAAGCAAAUUUACCCAGAUAUUCUUGACCUUGGACAUGAGGGGAAAAAUGUUUCUGGUUUUGCUUGUGUCUUCAGUGACGAACAUUAGCAUUCUUUCCUCCCCUCCCUUUUUUUUUCUCACGUUGAGAUGAAGAAACAACAAUAACCAAAUGCUGCUUGCCCCCAAACCGUUUGAAUUGAGGACUUGGGAUCUCAGCAUGCUCAGACAGUAGUCUUCUGUGAGGAAUGUGCAGCAUUUGACAGAAUUUCCAGGAGGAAUGAAGAACUGAGAGUCACUGAUUAAAACCAUGUUAAAACAAAGAACAAGCUAGGUCCUGUCACAGUGCUUCUGAUUUACUCAGAUGAAAAAGAGGACAUGUGUUGGGUGUUGAUCAGCAUCACCGAAGUGUCUCUGUGAUGCGUAAACUUAGAGCACGCUCAGCUUCCUCGUAAGCCUGUCUCACCGUGAGCUGUUUCCCCAGAAGGCUGGCUUGCCUUCCAGCAGUUUACUUACUGAGAGUCAUCACGAGAGGGGAAAAGCCACAGUUUCCAUUUUGAUAGGUUGUGAACAUUUAUCUGGGUUUGUAAUUGUCCUUGUCGUUAGCUGCUGUUGAGUCACCUCUGACUCAUGGCAACCUUAUGUACAACAGAACAAAACAGUUGCCAGGCCUGCGCCAUCUUCAUGAUCUUUUGGUAUAUUUGAGCCCUUUGUUGUGGCUGUGGUAUAGUGCCUUCUUCCAGCACUAUAUCAGGUAGUAUUCUGUUGUGAUCUCUUGGCUAAUAUCUAUGGCAGUAGAUCGCCAGGUCCUUCCUUCUAAUCUGUCUUAGUCUGGAAGCUCCGCUGAAACCCAUCCACCACUGGCGACCCUGCUGGUAUUUGAAAUACUGGUGGCACAGCUUCCAGCAUCAAAGCAACAUGCAAGACACCACAGUACAACACACUGCCAGACGGGUGCUGAUCAUUGCCCUACUCCCAUGUUAUUUUCUUGUUAUCAUGUAGCACAAUGAUGAAAGCUGUCUGGGGGAAAGCAAAUAAAAGAAAAACCUUCUUCCAAAAGCUAUGCAUCUAGAGCAGGGUUCUCAACUUGGCACUAUUGACAUUUGGGGCUAGAUAACUCUUUGUUCUUGGGGGGCUGUCGUGUGCAUGGUAGGUUGUUUAGCAACAUCCCUGAUCUCUACCCACUCUAUACCAGUAGCAUUUCCAUAGAUAGGACAAUCCAAAAUGUCUAUAGACAUUGCCAAAUGUCCCCUGAGGAGCAAAAUCGCCCUGGUUGAGAACUACUGGCCUAGAUCUUGGUAGCCUCGAGUUUGUACCCUGCUCUUCCACCCUGAGGGACUGGCUGUGUGUAUUUCCACCCUCAGCCCCUCCAGGAAUGGGAAUGUGGUCCCAUCCUCACUGCCUUGAGCUGGCAAGGUAAAUGAAGUCAGACAUAUGACUGGGAGUGAAGCAAGCAUUCUCUCUGGCGAAGACACACCCAUGCACCAUCUCAGGUUUGGCAUUUCAGUGGAAAACAAGUCACAUAAGGUGGCAGAUAUACACUGCUCCCACCUCGGUGGUCUCAGCAGCCCCCUGGACCCUGCCAGGUCUGUGGAAAAGAGGGACAAGCUUGCCCCUUUAAAAAAAAAAAACUAGAAGCGUAGCUCAUAGGUGCAGCUGUUGGGUUUGUAGACCCAACUGACUGAGUCAGAGCACCUCGGCAGGUUCCCUGAAGUACUCAGAGGGUGUGGCGCUUCACAGGCUGGCCUGAGUGCCAGGCUCUGUCUUCUGUCCACACAGAGUUCACCAUAGACAUGGCGCGUGUGGCCAGCGCUUUCUUCAGUUUGGCUCCGGGCAGCCAGACUCAGUCAGCUCUUGGGCGGAUGAAAGCCCUGAGCGUGAACUUUUUUGAACGAUGACACAAUUCUGGAAAAAUGCAGCAUCUCCGAAGAAGGUUCUGGAGCUUUGCCUGGGGAUGGGGACCUUGAGAGUGUUUAGCAUUUAGGCUGUUGGCAGUUCCUUGCUUCAGAAGUGUAUGUUUGCGUGGGGGGGUGGGGAGGGGAGCUGUGCAUGUUUUCACAGGGCAUACUUAUUUUCAGAAGCUCAUGUGGACCCUUUCUGAGAGUUCCCUGGGCGGGAGAAGAAAGUACAGAGAGCUGUGACACCUGAUGGGAAAUAUGACAACUUUAUCAAGAGGGCUGACGUGUCUCUGCUGACUCUUGCCUCUAAACCAAACCAAACCAAACCAUGGCAGUGGGGAAGCCACGUGGGGAAGGCUGCACUGGUGACCGUCCACCUGACAUGACACUCUUAAUUCUGAGCACCUUUGAAAAAGGCUUUCAGGAUCAUUGAUGUGUGAGUUAGAGGGGGCCUGAAAGGUCAUCUUGGCCAAGUACUCCAUUUUAAAAGAAGAGGAAACGGAGGGUCAGAGAAGGCCCAUGACCCACCCAGGGUCACAAAGCUAGAAUUUGAAUCCUGUGUGCUGAUGCCCAGGACAGGGUUUUGUCCGUUCUGUCCUACUUUGGUUUUUCAGACAGUACAUUGUGACAUGUUUUAGAUAGCACGUCUUUUCCCCUCUGAUCUUACUCCUUCACCAGCUACAAAAGUCAACCAUUGUUCCAGGUGUUGGGGAUACAGUGCUAGCCCUGGUCCUUGUGCUCAGCGGGAUGACGGUCAAGUAGGGAAGAAAUUCCAAGUGGAAUGCAAGCAAGAUAGCAGGGCAGUGCCAGUGGGUGGCCCUGGCCUGUGGGGAGCAGUCAGUGGAGGUCAGAGAGCAGAUGCAGGAGGAGUAGGAGUUGAUGGCUGGGGAACUGAGCCUGUCAAUUCGGUUUCAGACCCUGGUCAGGUGCUGAGCCCAGCACUCUGUGUGUGGCCGACUCUGAACGGCUCCUUCCCCAGGAGGAGGUGGGAUUCAAAGGCAGAAGCUGCUCUGGAUCAGGCAACAUGGAAAGCAGAGAGAGACUGAAAAAGUGGGAGCACCGGGACAUAGGAUGUAUUUUGUAAUUAAAAAAAUGUAAAAAUGCUAGAAGCAGUCGGGUGUGUGUGUAUGUGCAGGUAAGGCCUGGAAUGGGAGGGGGCUGGGAAGUGGCCAGUGCAAAGCCUCCAGGCCUCCUGGGAACUGGAGGAGAGAGGGACCUGCAUGUAGGACAAGGAUUUCCAAAGGAGGCCAAAGCACAGGCUUCCAGAAUGACAGUGGCUCUGGCUGGAGGCCGCACUUUUCUCAGGGGUAGGUGGGGCCAGGCCUUUUCUGCUUGGAGACAAGACAGCAGGAUGCUUGUGGCCAGCAGGAUGGAAGCCAUGUUGGUGUGCUGUAGGAGGCUCAGGCCAAGUGGAAGCUUCCGGGAGGGCCCCUCUGCCCUGUGAUAGUCCCUAGGGUGGACCUGGGAGACAUUGUUCAUGCCUCACCCAACCCCUAGCCUCUGAGCCCUCUCCCCUUUGCCGAAGGGCUCCUUGGGGUUCAGAGAACUUAGGAUACCUGCCUGAGGUCACACAGCAAGGUUACAGCCAGGCCCUGCUGCUUCUUGCGCGGAUACUUCUCUGGCACACGGCUGGAGGGAGGAGGCACUGUCCCUCCCCAGCGCCCCCAGGCUGUCUUCCUCUGACUCCCUGCAGUGUCAGUGUCUCUGGUAACGAGUAUUUUGCCUUUGGGUACCUUUCUUUUUUUAAAAUUGAGAUAUAAUUCACAUAUCAUAAAAUUCACCAUUUUUAAGUAUGAAUUCUGUGGUUUUUAUCUUAUUCCUUAGGUUGCACAACCAUCCCAACUGUCUAAUACCAGAAUGUUUUCAUCACCCCAAAAAGAAACCCUGUACCCAUUAGCAGUCACUCCCCUUUGCCCCUCCCCCAUCUCCUGACCCCCCCCCCCCCCCCGCAACCAUUAAUCUGCUUUUUGUUUCUACGGAUUUGCCUAUUCUGGAUGUUUCACAUAAAUGGAAUUAUACAGUAUGUGGCUUUUUGUGUCUGGCUUCUUUCUCUUAGCGUCAUGUUUUCAAGGUUCAUCAUGUCAUAGCACGUAUCCCUGCUUCAUUCCCCUUUAUGACCGAAUUCAUUAUAUGGAUAUACCACGUUUUGUUUGUCCAUCCAUCAGCUCAUGCGCCUUUCAUUUUAACUUCGAUUAUGGCCACCUGGUGUCUCCCUGAGUUCCCCAUCCUUCUGUGGUGAGUGUUUGCAAGUUGUUUCUGAUUUCUUUAAUGGGAACUGUAGCCCAAAUCUUCCAUCUGGUAGGCUGGCUGUAUUAAUCAGGUGUCUUCAUUAUCUAGUGCUGCUAUAACAGAAAUGCCACAAGUGGGUGACUUUCACUGACAGAGAUUCAUUUUCCGAUGGUUUAGGAGGCUAGAAGUCCAAAUUCAGGCUGCUGGCUAUAGGGGAAGGCUUUUCUCCCUCCGUUGGCUCCUUGGUUAUCUUCAUGUGGAAUGGCAUCUGUUUUCCCCCUCCCCCUCUCUACUUUUUGCUGCUUGCUUAGUCUACUCUUUUGUAUCUCAAAAGAGAUUGACUUAAGACACAGCCUACACUAAUGCCGCCUCAGUAUAACAAAGAAAACCCAUUCCCAGAUGGAAUUAAACCACAGGUAAUGUUGUUGUCCUUGUCCUCCAGUCAGCUCUAACUCAUAGCAACCCUGUGUACAACAGAAGGAAACACUGCUCGGUCCUGUGCCAUCCUCACAAUCGUUGUUACGCUUGAGCCCAUUGUUGGAGCCACUGCGUCGAUCUGUCUCGCUGAGGGUCUUCUUUUUCUCUGACCCUCUUCUUUACCAAACAUGAUGUCCUUCUCCAGGGACUGAUCCCUCCUGAUAACACGUCCACAGUAUGUGAGACGUAGUCUUGCUGUUCUUGCUUCUGAGGAGCAUUCAGGUUGUACUUCUUUCAAGACAGAUUUGUUUGUUCUUUUGGCAGCCCAUGGUAUAUUCAAUAUUCUUCACCAGCACCGCUGUUCAAACGCGUCAAUUCUUCUUCAGUCUUCCUUAUUUAUUGUCCAGCUUUCACAUGUAUGUGAAGCAAUGGAGAAUACCUGUGGUUUGCAUCAGGUGCACUUUAGUCGUCAAGGUGACAUCUUUGCUUUUCAACACUUUAAAGAGGUCUUUUGCACUAGAUUUGCCCAAUGCAAUGCGUCCUUUGAUAUCUUGACUGCUGCUUCCAUGGACAUUGAUUGUGGAUUCAAGUAAAAUGAAAUCCUUGACAGCUUCAAACUUUUUUCCAUUUAUCAUGACGUUGCUUAUUGGUCCAGUUGUGAACAUUUUUAUUUUCUUUAUUUUGAGGUGUAAUCCAUACUGAAGGCUGCAGUCUUUGAUCUUCAUCAGUAAGUGCUCAAGCUCUCUGCACUUUCAGCAAGCGAGGUGUGUCAUCUGCAUAACGCAGGUUGUUAAUGAGUCUUCCUCCAAUCUUGAUGCCCUGUUCUUCUUCUUAUAGUCCAUCUUCUCGGAUUAUUUGUUCAGCAUACAGAUUGAAUUAGUACGGUGAAAGGAUACAACCCUGACGCACACCCUUCCUGACUUUAAACCAUGCAGUAUCCUCUUUUUCUGUCCGAACCGCUGCCUCUAGAUCUAUGUACAGGUUCCUCAUGAGCACAAUUAAGUGCUCUGGAAUUCCCAUUCUUCACAAUGCAUAUAUGUGUGGGAGAGAAAGAUAUUUAUUGUAAGGAAUUGAGUCACAUGGCUGGUAAGUCUAAAAUCCAUGUGCCAGGGAGACAAGAACCUCCAGCGAGAGGGAAACCUCAGUUUUUGCUCUUAAGGCCUUCAGCUGAUUGGACAAGGACCACACACAUUAUGGGGGGCACUCUCCUAAAAGUCAACUGAUUGUAAAUGUUAAUCAUAUUUAAAUACCUUCGUAGCAACAUCUAGACUAGUGAUUGACCAAACGACUGGGCAUCAUAUUCCAGCCAAGUGACAGCCGUGUGUUGCGAGUCUUCCUUUCCAGCCACAUCUAGGCCAUGAUGAAGACAGGUGGUAGCAGGACUAGCACAAGAUGCAGGUUUCAGGGCCCUUGCUUCGAGUAUUGCCUUCAUCGAUUUUCCCCCAUUAUUUAAUUAAGUUGUAAUCAACAUACAGUUAAAUUCUCCAUUUUUAAGGGCACAAUUCUGCAUAUUUUAACAAAUGUAUAAUAGAAAAAAAUAAAAGGAAGGAAGCUAAUAGAGAGUGUUUGUUACUAAGAAAGUUGCCAUUUUGGGCAACUGGCACUCAGUCCUCUGGGGAACUCAGGUAAGCAGUAUAGAACAUACACCUCAGACUUCUUCCACGUGAGGGUCCAGGGAGCUGGGCUUUUAUAAGCCAUUUCCCAUCAGUCAUUGGUCUCAUUAACACCCAGAUGUUCUGGAGCAUCACUGUCUAAUAGAACCUUCUGUCAUGAUGGAAAUAUUAUCUCUCUGCACUGUCUAACACUAGUAAGCACUUGAGAUGUGGCAAGUGCAGCUAAGCCCAGACCCAGUGCUGUUGAGUUGAUUCUGACUCAUAGUGACUCUGUAGGACAGAGCAGAACUGCCCCAUAGGGUUUCCAAGGCUGUAAAUCUUUAUAAAAGCAGACAGCCACAUCUUUCUCCCAUGGAGCAGCCGGUGGGUUAGAACUGGUGACCUUUUAAUUAGCAGCUGAGCACUCUAACCACCAUGCCACCAGCACUCCCUAUUGCAAUUAAAGAACUGAAUUAAUUUAAUUUAAUUAAGAUUUUCAUUCAUAUAGCCGCGAGUAGCUAGUGGGCUGGACAGCGAAUUUCCAGAAUGUGAGCCUAGAAGGGGGCUGGGCUUGUCCUCUUCUCUCCAGUAUAUAUCCUCUUGAGAUCAAUUAAAAAAAAAAAAAAAAUCUGAUUCAGAGUCUUUGUGAUUCUGAAUCUUUUAAACUCUUACCAUCUGCUUCAGAAAUGGGAAGUGUAAUCAUUUUAGGCAACGAAGUUAAAAGUGACCCAAGGAUAUGUUGCCAUUCCUUUUAUGAAGCUGCCGCUGAAAUCGUCACAUUUUCACUCUCAGAUACUUAUUUUAAUUGCGUAGCUCGCCCUGACAUGUGUGCCACCCCGAUUUCGUGUUGUCAAACGUGUGCGAGUUACCGAUUUUUCCCCUGGAAGCUGGAGGCAUGGGGCAGGUGGAGGGCCUACCAGGAAGUGGCGCUGAAGUCGUCUCUUGGAAUUUGGAUGCACAAGCGGUGUCCCUGAUGGCAGCUUCAGUGUGGGUUUCUGAAGCUGGAACCAAGUUAGGUUCUGUACAGCCCAGAGAUGAUAGACUUUCAUAUUACUUUGCUUUAGCUUCGGAAAAUGACUAGAAACGCCUGAUUAAAAUUAUUUUGGAGCCAUUUCAGCGGGAUAAGGCUUCAAGGUGCACUGCACAGGGAAUCGAGACCAGGGUUCUUACUCAAGCUAUGCCACUGAUCUGCUUGCUUUGUGACCUGCAGCAAGUAACCACACUUUCCUGAGCAUUGCUUUCUGGUUUGUAAAUAAGGAGCUUUGGUUAAAUCUGCAUUUUGCAAGUGCUUUGUGGAAUAGCAUUCCAGAAGAUGGUAAUAGACGUAUCUGAGAAAGAGAGUUCCAUGGUCAAAUACUUAAGCAACUAUCUCCUUAGAUAUUCACAGUGCACAUUCAUAUAAUAAAGGCUCUGAGAAGUCCUGCAGAGGACUAAAAAACAUCUUUUUACUUUGUAGAAAUCAGGUUUCCCAACUUAU